GCGCUCGUGGCGGAAUUGGUAGACGCACCAGAUUUAGGUUCUGGCGCCCAAGGCGUGGGAGUUCGAGUCUCCCCGAGCGCACCA
rnacentral:tRNA from 2 species